GGUCGGGAACUCAAAGGAGACUGCCAGUGAUAAACUGGAGGAAGGUGGGGAUGACGUCAAGUCAUCAUGGCCCUUACGACCAGGGCUACACACGUGCUACAAUGGCGCAUACAAAGAGAAGCGACCUCGCGAGAGCAAGCGGACCUCAUAAAGUGCGUCGUAGUCCGGAUUGGAGUCUGCAACUCGACUCCAUGAAGUCGGAAUCGCUAGUAAUCGUGGAUCAGAAUGCCACGGUGAAUACGUUCCCGGGCCUUGUACACACCGCCCGUCACACCAUGGGAGUGGGUUGCAAAAGAAGUAGGUAGCUUAACCUUCGGGAGGGCGCUUACCACUUUGUGAUUCAUGACUGGGGUGAAGUCGUAACAAGGUAACCGUAGGGGAACCUGCGGUUGGAUCACCUCCUUACCUUAAAGAAGC
rnacentral:rRNA from 2 species